rnacentral:rRNA from 1 species
GACGAACGCUGGCGGCGUACUUAACACAUGCAAGUCGAACGGAAAGGCCCUUCGGGGUACUCGAGUGGCGAACGGGUGGGUAACACGUGGGUGAUCUGCCCUGCACUUUGGGAUAAGCCUGGGACACUGGGUCUAAUACCGAAUAGGACCACGCGCUUCAUGGUGUGUGGUUGAAAGCUUUUGCGGUGUGGGAUGGGCCCGCGGCCUAUCAGCUUGUUGGUGGAGUACUGGCCUACCAAGGCGACGACUGGUAGCCGGCCUGAGAGGGUGACCGGCCACAAUGGGACUGAGGUACGGCGCAGAAGGGUACGGGGGGCAGCGGUGGGGAGUAUGACACAAUGGGCGCAAGCCUGAGGCAGCGACGCUGCGUGAGGGAAGACGGCCUUCGGGUUAUAAACCUCUUUCAAUAGAGACGAAGCGCAAGUGACGGUACCUAUAGAAGAAGCACCGGCCAACUACGUG